GCUCUGGAGCCCUUCUUCAGCGCAGCUGCUACUCAGUUUAUCCUUGGACAGCAAGUUCCCUUCUCUCUUUUUUGGAAGGGGUUAUCUGUGGAUGUAUUAUGUCAUUGAGUGCGCUGCUGAUCUACAAGUUUUUGUUUUAAUUUUCCUUUCCUUUUUAAUGCAGGAAACUCGAAUACAAUAGUGGCUCUUGCUGGGAACAAGGCUGAUUUGUUAGAUAAAGGUGGGAUUCUAUUUCUAAUGCCCCUGCAGCUUCUGUAAGCAGAGGAUCCAAUUAUUGUACUACAGCAGUGUAGCCUGUUCAGAUUUGAGCUUGUUCGGCCAUUAAUAGUGUUUAGAAGCCUAACAGAGUGAUUCUGUGUUGAUGGCACACACUUGACACCUGUAGUGGUAUCACCUGUAAGAAGAGGGUACCAGUUAUUUUGUCGUGAUCCAGCAAGUCACAAUAUGUUCUGAAACAAAGUAGCUAGAGCAGUAGAGCACACAUGUGAGUUCAAGCAAACAGAAUUAUCACGAGACAUACCCUAUGGUGGUGGGGUUGAUUCAACAAUAAGAAUAGUAUUAGAUGCAUGCACUAAAAUGAAACUGCAAUUUAAAGCUCCUUGCAAACUCUACAAAUGUUCUGAAACGGUGGAUAGCAAGUGCAUAUGCUAACUUACCAAAAGAUGGUAAGGAAAUAUUUUUUUCAAAUAUGCAUGAGAGCAGCAAGUGCCCUCAUAUUGGAUAUGAGUGCUAUUCAUAACAAUUAUCACCAGAAACUUGACAGGUUUUCUCCUUUUAAUUAUUGGACCACAAUGGAAAGAAGAAUACUCUAGAAUUUUUUUCUCCUUUGGAUGGAAUUAGAAUAUUCACACAAAAAAAAUUAGAAAAGGCCUCCAAACAAAUAUUGCAAUUAAGACGAGCAAAUAAUGUUACCUUUUCAGCCACUUUGGUCUGCCAGGCUUCUUAUUUGUUGUUGUUGGUACAGGAACAGAUUGAGAUGCAUCAGAUU
rnacentral:lncRNA from 1 species